AGUGAACGCUGGCGGUAGGCCUAACACAUGCCAGUCGAACGGCAGCACAGUAAGAGCUUGCUCUUACGGGUGGCGAGUGGCGGACGGGUGAGGAAUACAUCGGAAUCUACUUUUUCGUGGGGGAUAACGUAGGGAAACUUACGCUAAUACCGCAUACGACCUACGGGUGAAAGCAGGGGAUCUUCGGACCUUGCGCGAUUGAAUGAGCCGAUGUCGGAUUAGCUAGUUGGCGGGGUAAAGGCCCACCAAGGCGACGAUCCGUAGCUGGUCUGAGAGGAUGAUCAGCCACACUGGAACUGAGACACGGUCCAGACUCCUACGGGAGGCAGCAGUGGGGAAUAUUGGACAAUGGGCGCAAGCAUGAUACAGCCAUACCGCGUGGGUGAAGAAGGCCUUCGGGUUGUAAAGCCCUUUUGUUGGGAAAGAAAAGCAGCAGGUUAAUACCCCGCUGUUCUGACGGUACCCAAAGAAUAAGCACCGGCUAACUUCGUG
rnacentral:rRNA from 1 species